GUCUUUUUGAAAAUUAUGAAAAGUUUGACCUGCUCAAUGAUUUUAUAUAGCCGCGGUAUUUUGACCGUGCGAAGGUAGCAUAAUAAAUAGUCUUUUAAAUGUGGUCUGGAAUGAAUGGUUAAACGAAGAAUAUCUUUAUUAGUUUUGUUGAUGAAUUUGAAUUAUCAGUAAAAAUGCUGAUUUUUAAUAGAGGGACGAGAAGACCCUAUAGAGCUUUAUAUGAUUAAAAUUUAUGAUAGUAGUUUUUAAUCAUAUUUUGUUGGGGCGACAUAAAAUUUAAACAUUUGAUUUAUUUUCUUUUUUAGAGGUUAGUUGAUCCAUUAUUAAUGAUUAUAGACUAAGUUCCCUUAGGGAUAACAGCGUUAUCCUACUAUAGAGUUCUAUCGAUAGUAGGGUUUGCGACCUCGAUGUUGGAUUAGAAUUCCUAUAGGCGCAGAAGUUAGGAAGGCUGUUCGACUAUUAAAAUUCUACAUGAUCU
rnacentral:rRNA from 1 species